GCUGGGUGAGGAGUUUGCUGAUUCAGAAACAAACAUGGUUUUUCUCAUUCCCAGUAACUGGAGACCCUGCUUGGGACUGUGAACUGCUUUCAUUCUGGGUGCUUCAGAGGCAGAUCUGAAACAUGAGUCUUCAGUAUGAAGUUACUCAUCGUUGAUUAUGCUGCCCUGCAUGCUGCAAAAGGAAAACAAGAUUACAUCACAGCCCUGGCAACACCAUGGAUUCGGUGAUCUGUGUGGGCGAGAAGUGAGUGGUGCUUUCAGCCGCAAGGUUGAGCUCAGGGCUGGGGGAUGGAAAGGGACAAAUAGCCUUACUUUUUAUCUGUCUUUCUUAAACAUUUGCUGUGCAGUUUCAGAAAAUCCGAAGGCCUUGUAUUCACUGAAGACUCUAACACUCACGCCCAGGAUCCACUAAGAGAAGAAAUGC
rnacentral:lncRNA from 1 species